UGGGGAAUAUUGGACAAUGGGCGCAAGCCUGAUCCAGCCAUGCCGCGUGAGUGAUGAAGGCCCUAGGGUUGUAAAGCUCUUUCACCGGUGAAGAUAAUGACGGUAACCGGAGAAGAAGCCCCGGCUAACUUCGUGCCAGCACCCGCGGUAAUACGAAGGGGGCUAGCGUUGUUCGGAUUUACUGGGCGUAAAGCGCACGUAGGCGGACUUUUAAGUCAGGGGUGAAAUCCCGGGGCUCAACCCCGGAACUGCCUUUGAUACUGGAAGUCUUGAGUAUGGUAGAGGUGAGUGGAAUUCCGAGUGUAGAGGUGAAAUUCGUAGAUAUUCGGAGGAACACCAGUGGCGAAGGCGGCUCACUGGACCAUUACUGACGCUGAGGUGCGAAAGCGUGGGGAGCAAACAGG
rnacentral:rRNA from 1 species